GUGUAUGCUUUAAAAUUAAUUCAAUAGGAUGUAUAUAAAACACUAUCAGUCUUAAGACUAAAUUUAUUUUGUUAGUAUAAUCAAAGACAAAUUUUCAUUUGUCAACAAAAAUGUUAACAUACUAGUAUCACUUUGUUGACCUAUAAAACAGGGUCAGAUAACCCUUCAAUAUACUUCCACAGAUUUAGUAACAUUAUGUAGAGGUCAUAACAGUUCUGUUAGUUCCGCGAUCAACGGCGUAGAAGGAUAAUAAGUGUUAGAGUAAAUACAUUUAGUUGAAUAAACAAAAAAUAACUUUGUUGCUCAACACAACAAGGGGACAAGUUAAACGAGUUUGGUUUAUAAAUAAACAUCAAUUUCAAUGAAUAACUUGCUUAGGUGACUUACAGUGGCCAUUCUGGAAAUCUUUUAAAAGAUUGAGAACCCAGGUUUGCCGCUGCAGUUACAUUCUGGUGAAAUGGCGUGUUAUAUCUCAGGAGGCCUGCGACUGUAGAGUGUAAUCGCAGACCAUAUCUUACCUUCUGUGCUGUUCUUAUAUUCUUCAUCUUGCACGAAAGAGAACCUGAAUAAGGCAAGUAACUGUGCUGUGGAAGUCCAAAUAUAUUUAGAUUGCCUAUUGACUCGAAAGAAGAAGAAGAAGGAAUUGUUUUUACAAGCACUCAACCUACUACGGCGCCUCAAGUUUGGAUAUUACAGUGAGCAUGACUUAUUUUCAGUUAGAUACUUGACAUCUUUACAUCAUUUACUAUACUAAAUCUAAAAUUUAGUCUAGUUUCUUAGUUACACAGUCAGAUAGGAAUAAUAUAUGAAAAAGAAAAAGUUUUGCUUCUUUAUUUGAUAUCUGUAUAGUUGGUCAUGGCUGGAAAGAAGCCAUAUAGUAUAUUUGAAAAAAGAAAAAGAAUUAUUAAAUUUUUUUCAUACCAUUCUUGUAACUCUUCAUGUAAUGUUUUGUAACUAUAUUUUGUUAUGUAAAUAAAUAUAAAAAAACACUAGUGGAACUAUAAAAGUGGUAUCAUUUUGGAGUACAUCGUCUAAUAGUAUUUUUUUUUUAAUUAAUUAUUGUAGAAAUCAAAAUCUUAGACGGAUGGUCACGGCCACAGAUGCUACAAAGUUAACUAUUAUAUCUAUGAUUACAAUUUAUUGUAGGUCUUGCAAAAUAUAUAGAGAUUAAUCAAAUAGUGCUGGAUUUAUUAAUGGGUUAUGAAGGCUUCGGUUCAUGUGCGGAAAAUACAAUUUAAUUGUUUAACUAAUGACUAUGAUAUUUGGUAUACAUUAAUUAUAUCUGAUGAAGACGAAAUGGUGUUGUCCGGGCAUCAAACUCGCCACUACUGGAAGGUAAAGCAAUGUAUAAAACUACUAGGUCGUCAAAAUCAUAAAGAUCUGAACACAAAAUUGUUUUAUCUUUCUUACGAUUCCAUACAAAAUCAUGUCUUAGUGCAUCAGGUACUCCAGGUAAGCUAAGGCCAGCCCUGAUUGCGUGAAAUUUUUACGCAACGAUGUUAUCUUUAAGUAGAUACUAAAUUCCUUGAUUAUUACCGCCUAUGUUUGAGUAAGGCCUUAUGCGGGCUGCCUAAAGUGUCCCAAGACCAGACGCAUAUUAAAAUAGAGAUCUAUUCCUGUAUCUGCUUCCAUCACAGAUUACACAAACAGUGAAUAUGACAUUUAUAGAUGGGAGAAUCGGUGUCAAGUACAUUUUACGUGAUUCCAUAGGAUUUUUAAAUGCAAAGGUGUUACAUCCUCAUUAGGUAAGGCUGCGAACUGUAUAGUGUAAUGUAUUAAGAAAUACUUAUAUUUAU